rnacentral:rRNA from 1 species
CGCGUAGGCGGCAAUUCAAGUCAUCUGUGAAAUCUCCGGGCUUAACUCGGAACGGUCAGAUGAUACUGCUUUGCUAGAGUGCAGAAGGGGCAAUCGGAAUUCUUGGUGUAGCGGUGAAAUGCGUAGAUAUCAAGAGGAACACCUGAGGUGAAGACGGGUUGCUGGGCUGACACUGACGCUGAGGCGCGAAAGCCAGGGAGCAAACG